rnacentral:rRNA from 1 species
AACGAACGCUGGCGGCAGGCCUAACACAUGCAAGUCGAACGGGAUCUUCGGACCUAGUGGCGGACGGGUGAGUAACGCGUGGGAACGUGCCCUUUGGUUCGGAAUAGCCCCGGGAAACUGGGAGUAAUACCGGAUAAGCCCUACGGGGGAAAGAUUUAUGCGCCAAAGGAUCGGCCCGCGUUGGAUUAGGUAGGUGGUGAGGUAAUGGCUCACCAAGCCGACGAUCCAUAGCUGGUUUGAGAGGAUGAUCAGCCACACUGGGACUGAGACACGGCCCAGACUCCUACUGGAGGCAGCAGUGGGGAAUCUUAGACAAUGGGGGAAACCCUGAUCUAGCCAUGCCGCGUGAUCGAUGAAGGCCUUAGGGUCGUAAAGCUCUUUUGCCAGGGAAGAUGAUGACUGUACCUGGAGAAUAAGCCCCGGCUAACUUCGUGCCAGCCGCCGCGGUAA